rnacentral:rRNA from 1 species
AUCGAACGCUGGCGGCAGGCCUAACACAUGCAAGUCGAACGAGUGGCGGACGGGUGAGUAAUGUCUGGGAAACUGCCUGAUGGAGGGGGAUAACUACUGGAACCGGUACCUAAUACCGCUUACCAUCGCAGUUGCACAGAUGGGAUUAGCUAGUCGGUGGGGUAAAGGCUAACCUCGCGGACGAUCCCUAACUGGUCUGAGAGGAUGACCAGCCACACUGGAACGGAGAAACGGUCCAGACCCCUAGGGUAGGAAGCAGUGGGGAAUAUUGGACAAUGGGCGAAAGCCUGAUGCAGCCAUGCCGCGUGUAUGAAGAAGGCCUUCGGGUUGUAAAGUACUUUCAGCGGGGAGGCGUUACCCGCAGAAGAAGCACCGGCUAACUCCGUGCCAGCAGCCGCGGUAAUAC